rnacentral:rRNA from 1 species
UGGGGAAUUUUGGACAAUGGGGGAAACCCUGAUCCAGCCAUCCCGCGUGUGCGAUGAAGGCCUUCGGGUUGUAAAGCACUUUUGGCAGGAAAGAAACGUCGCGGGUUAAUACCCCGCGAAACUGACGGUACCUGCAGAAUAAGCACCGGCUAACUACGUGCCAGCAGCCGCGGUAAUACGUAGGGUGCAAGCGUUAAUCGGAAUUACUGGGCGUAAAGCGUGCGCAGGCGGUUCGGAAAGAAAGAUGUGAAAUCCCAGAGCUUAACUUUGGAACUGCAUUUUUAACUACCGGGCUAGAGUGUGUCAGAGGGAGGUGGAAUUCCGCGUGUAGCAGUGAAAUGCGUAGAUAUGCGGAGGAACACCGAUGGCGAAGGCAGCCUCCUGGGAUAACACUGACGCUCAUGCACGAAAGCGUGGGGAGCAAACAGGAUUAGAUACCCUGGUAGUCCACGCCCUAAACGAUGUCAACUAGCUGUUGGGGGCCUUCGGGCCUUGGUAGCGCAGCUAACGCGUGAAGUUGACCGCCUGGGGAGUACGGUCGCAAGAUUAAAACUCAAAUGAAUUGACGGGGUCGAUANCUG